GGCCUCUCUCCCAUGGGGCUGUGGGGUUCCCUUUUCUCCUCAGCCAGGGCUAGAGGCCAAGAUCAGCCCUUGAGGGUCUUUGUCGGGACUGCCACAAGCUGGGCAGCCUUGUUUUCCUACCUCAGACAGUU